rnacentral:rRNA from 1 species
CCAGACUCCUACGGGAGGCAGCAGUGGGGGAUAUUGCACAAUGGGGGAAACCCUGAUGCAGCGACGCCGCGUGAGUGAAGAAGUAUUUCGGUAUGUAAAGCUCUAUCAGCAGGGAGGAAAAUGACGGUACCUGACUAAGAAGCCCCGGCUAACUACGUGCCAGCAGCCGCGGUAAUACGUAGGGGGCAAGCGUUAUCCGGAUUUACUGGGUGUAAAGGGAGCGUAGACGGCAUGGCAAGUCAGAUGUGAAAGCCCGGGGCUCAACCCCGGGACUGCAUUUGAAACUGUCAGGCUGGAGUGCAGGAGAGGUAAGUGGAAUUCCUAGUGUAGCGGUGAAAUGCGUAGAUAUUAGGAGGAACACCAGUGGCGAAGGCGGCCUGCUGGACCGAAACUGACGUUGAGGCUCGAAAGCGUGGGGAGCAAACAGGAUUAGAUACCCCUGUA